rnacentral:lncRNA from 1 species
AUCCAACAAAAUCAAAGUACGAAAUAGGAAAAAUUUAGCGCAACUCCCAAAAUUAUAUUUGUACAAAUUCAGAUGGGGAAGAGUUGCCCAGAUGUGCUGCCAUCUCUUUGACAAUAUGCAAGUUUAAACUGUCAAUUUGGUAUCGAACGAAUGUCGCCAGAGAUUUAAAGACUCAUAGUAUGACAAUAUCACUUCAACCAUGUACAUAUCGCAUGGUAGGUUCCAAAAGGAGGCGGUUCCAUCGUCUGAAGAAGUAGAUUCAGUCCGUUGACGACGAGCGGCUUCAAGAGGAGUGAGAGAAAUAGUAAGGGCGGAGAGAAGAAGAAGAAGAAGAAUAAGAAGAAGAAGAUUUUAGAGAGAGAAAUACCAGAACAAAGGAUAUGGGAGUUGGGAGAAAAAGAAGGAAGAAGAAGAAGAAGAAGAUUUCACGCGUUUAAAAGAAACCACCAGAUUUGCCAUAUCAGCCCAUUAAUACUAAUCCCUUAAAUUAAGGAAUCCUAAUUGCACUAUUAUUGUAAAUAAAUAUGGAAAAGUGUAAUAUUUUUGUAAUUAUUUUAUAGGUGUAUGAUUUUUG